rnacentral:lncRNA from 1 species
UGGGUGUUGGGUCAGCUGGUCUGGUGGCUGUUGGUGCUAAUUUUGGUGGAAUUACGAGUUUUCUUCUCGGGUUGUCGCCGGAAAAUGGUCGGAAUCUUAAGCUCGAUGUGCUUUAUCCGAUCGGAGGGUAUAGCCGUUGCAUUGACACUAACGAAGGAUUUGGUCAGUAACUAAUACAUACAUAUAUAUAUAUAUAUUGGAUAUGUUUAUUUAUUUAAUGCUAGUCAGAAAAUUAUAUAAGAAUUAGCAUAUACCCAGAAUUCAUAUACCCAGCAAACUGGGUUGGAGAUCAAACACUGUUAUAUCGAGCGACAAAACAACAAGAAUUUCAGAGAUCACUUGAUCCUCCACCAC